rnacentral:rRNA from 2 species
GGUUAAGUUAGAAAGGGCGCACGGUGAAUGCCUUGGCACUAGGAGCCGAUGAAGGACGGGACUAACACCGAUAUGCUUCGGGGAGCUGUAAGUGAGCUUUGAUCCGGAGAUUUCCGAAUGGGGAAACCCACUGUUCGUAAUGGAACAGUAUCUUUAUCUGAAUACAUAGGAUAUUGAAGGCAGACCCGGGGAACUGAAACAUCUAAGUACCCGGAGGAAGAGAAAGCAAAUGCGAUUUCCUGAGUAGCGGCGAGCGAAACGGAAUUAGCCCAAACCAAGAGGCUUGCCUCUUGGGGUUGUAGGACACUCUAUACGGAGUUACAAAGGAACGAAGUAAAUGAAGCGACCUGGAAAGGUCCGUCGAAGAAGGUAACAACCCUGUAGUUGAAACUUCGUUCCCUCUUGAGUGGAUCCUGAGUACGGCGGAACACGUGAAAUUCCGUCGGAAGCUGGGAGGACCAUCUCCCAAGGCUAAAUACUACCUAGUGACCGAUAGUGAACCAGUACCGUGAGGGAAAGGUGAAAAGCACCCCGGAAGGGGAGUGAAAGAGAUCCUGAAACCGUGUGCCUACAAGUAGUCAGAGCCCGUUAACGGGUGAUGGCGUGCCUUUUGUAGAAUGAACCGGCGAGUUACGAUCCCAUGCAAGGUUAAGCUGAUAAGGCGGAGCCGUAGCGAAAGCGAGUCUGAAUAGGGCGUUUAGUAUGUGGUUGUAGACCCGAAACCAGGUGAUCUACCCAUGUCCAGGGUGAAGUUCAGGUAACACUGAAUGGAGGCCCGAACCCACGCACGUUGAAAAGUGCGGGGAUGAGGUGUGGGUAGCGGAGAAAUUCCAAUCGAACCUGGAGAUAGCUGGUUCUCUCCGAAAUAGCUUUAGGGCUAGCCUCAUGUUGUGAGAGUCUUGGAGGUAGAGCACUGAUUGGACUAGGGGCCCCCAACGGGUUACCGAAUUCAGUCAAACUCCGAAUGCCAAAGACUUAUCCAUGGGAGUCAGACUGCGAGUGAUAAGAUCCGUAGUCAAAAGGGAAACAGCCCAGACCACCAGCUAAGGUCCCCAAGUAUACGUUAAGUGGAAAAGGAUGUGGAGUUGCUUAGACAACCAGGAUGUUGGCUUAGAAGCAGCCACCAUUUAAAGAGUGCGUAAUAGCUCACUGGUCGAGUGACUCUGCGCCGAAAAUGUACCGGGGCUAAACGUAUCACCGAAGCUGUGGAUUGACAUCUUUGAUGUCAGUGGUAGGAGAGCGUUCUAAGUGC